rnacentral:rRNA from 1 species
UACAGAGGGUGCGAGCGUUGUUCGGAAUUAUUGGGCGUAAAGCGCUGGUAGGUGGCUCGUUAAGUCGCGUGUGAAAGCUCCAGGCUCAACCUGGAAAGUGCGCGCGAAACUGGCGAGCUUGAGUGCCGGAGAGGGUCGCGGAAUUCUCGGUGUAGAGGUGAAAUUCGUAGAUAUCGAGAGGAACACCGGUGGCGAAGGCGGCUUUCUGGACGGUUACUGACGCUGAGACGCGAAAGCGUGGGGAGCAAACAGG